rnacentral:rRNA from 1 species
UACGUAGGUGGCAAGCGUUACUCGGAAUUACUAGGUGUAAAGCGCGAGUAGGUGGUUUGGUAAGUUGGGAGUGAAAGCUCCAAUAAAAUUGGAGAGGUCUUCUAAUACUGCCGAACUUGAGUGUAGCAUGGGAAACUGGAAUUCCCGGUGUAGCGGUGAAAUGCGUAAAUAUCGGGAGGAAUACCUAUGGCGAAGGCGAGUUUCUGGGCUACUACUGACACUGAGCAGCGAAGACGUGGGGAGCA